CGUCAUAAAAGCCGUUCACCUGUAAGGCGUCGUAAGAGCCGUUCUCCAACAACACGACAUUACAAGAUAAAGAAAAGUAGAAGUUCGUCUCGCUCUCCUCCAAGUAAGUCCCGCAGUCCAAGUGUUGCAUCAGCUGAGCGCAAGGAAGCCAAAAAGAAACAGAAAAAGGAAGAAGAAAAGAAAAGGGAUUCCGCACAAGCUGGUGAUUCAUUUGUCAUCUGAUUCUUUUUGAAGUCUGGGUUAGUGUAUCAGAAUAGAAAUCACUCAUUUUUUUUCUUCAUAUUGUUGUAAAUAUUCUCUGUUUCUACAUCUAUUUGCUUGUACUUUCAGUCUGUUGGCUUUUGGUUUUGCCUUCGUGUAAAUUCUGCUUCCUUCCUUCAUGUCUUUGCUUUCGUGUUGGACCUUUCUGUGUAGCUAUCUGUCUGGUUAGCAGCAGACUUCUUCCAUAUCUUAUGAGAUGAUUCUCACAUGUGCUUCUCUUGGAUUUAUAAUUAUAAAUAUGCUACAGGUUGCUUGAACUCUGGUGAACCUGUUACGCAAGUGAAUGACAUAAAAUGAUUAGAACGAUGACAGACCUAAGCUAGCUAUACUUAAUUGUUUUGUUAAUGUAAACAUUGUAAACCAAUGACACAUAUAUUUUAUUGUAUUUAUUAAGUUCUGGAAUGCUUCUCAUGUUUUUUGAUCCCAUGUACUCAGUGGAGCAUAGGGAAGAAGAGGGGAAGAAUUUGAGACAUGCGUAAAAGUUGGAGCUAUGCUUUAUUGUUUUGUUGAUGUAAACCAAUAAAUCAUAGAUUUUGUUACAGUUGAUACAUUUCUUGGCUGCUCAUGUAUUCAGUUGUGAUUUUUUGGCUC